GAGUUUGAUCUUGGCUCAGAUUGAACGCUGGCGGCAUGCCUUACACAUGCAAGUCGAACGGCAGCAUGAUCUAGCUUGCUAGAUUGAUGGCGAGUGGCGAACGGGUGAGUAAUACAUCGGAACGUGCCCUGUAGUGGGGGAUAGCUAGUCGAAAGAUUAGCUAAUACCGCAUACGACCUGAGGGUGAAAGUGGGGGACCGCAAGGCCUCAUGCUAUAGGAGCGGCCGAUGUCUGAUUAGCUAGUUGGUGGGGUAAAGGCCCACCAAGGCGACGAUCAGUAGCUGGUCUGAGAGGACGAUCAGCCACACUGGGACUGAGACACGGCCCAGACUCCUACGGGAGGCAGCAGUGGGGAAUUUUGGACAAUGGGCGAAAGCCUGAUCCAGCAAUGCCGCGUGUGUGAAGAAGGCCUGGUGU
rnacentral:rRNA from 1 species